rnacentral:rRNA from 1 species
UACGUAGGGGGCAAGCGUUGUCCGGAUUUAUUGGGCGUAAAGAGCGUGUAGGCGGCCAGGUAGGUCGGUUGUGAAAACUGGAGGCUCAACCUUCAGAGGUCGACCGAAACCAUCUGGCUAGAGUCCGGGAGAGGAGAGUGGAAUUCCUGGUGUAGCGGUGGAAUGCGCAGAUAUCAGGAGGAACACCGAUAGCGAAGGCAGGUCACUGGGGCCGCAACUGACGCUGAGGAGCGAAAGCAUGGGGAGCGAACAGG